UCCCGGGGCUUCUAAACCCACAAACAAAUAGGGAAGCUUGCAUGCAGGCCUCUGCAGUCGACGGGCCCGGGAUCCGAUUCUGACCUAAAGGUACCGGAUCCUUUUUUUUUUUUUUCCGACCUUACCUCCCCCUCCCUUUCUAACCCCCUACCCAACUGGGGAAAAAAAUUCAACCCCACCGGGGCCCCCAAUUAACAAACUUUUAACCAAAAAAGAACCCUUAUUUUCUAAGGUCCCCAAACCAAAGGAUUUGGAAUAACCAUCCCCAAAAUAAAAAGGGCCUUUCUUCACCAUUUCAAUACUUAAAAACCUUAUUUUCGGCAACAAAAACCCCCCAAAAACCCAUUUGAUAACCAUAAACCAAAUGCAGGGGCCUUUCUCUAAUUUAAAUCCUUUCCCAAGGUCCCAACCUCAAUUUCCCGGGCCGCCUUUUACAAA
rnacentral:rRNA from 1 species